GACGAACGCUGGCGGCGUGCUUAACACAUGCAAGUCGAACGGAAAGGCCCUGCUUUUGUGGGGUGCUCGAGUGGCGAACGGGUGAGUAACACGUGAGUAACCUGCCCUUGACUUUGGGAUAACUUCAGGAAACUGGGGCUAAUACCGGAUAGGAGCUCCUGCUGCAUGGUGGGGGUUGGAAAGUUUCGGCGGUUGGGGAUGGACUCGCGGCUUAUCAGCUUGUUGGUGGGGUAGUGGCUUACCAAGGCUUUGACGGGUAGCCGGCCUGAGAGGGUGACCGGCCACAUUGGGACUGAGAUGCGGCCCAGACUCCUACGGGAGGCAGCAGUGGGGAAGAUUGCACAAUGGGCGGAAGCCUGAUGCAGCAACGCCGCGUGCGGGAUGACGGCCUUCGGUUUGUAAACCGCUUUCGCCUGUGACGAAGCGUGAGUGACGGUAAUGGGUAAAGAAGCACCGGCUAACUACGUG
rnacentral:rRNA from 1 species